rnacentral:rRNA from 2 species
UGGAUCCAGACUUUGAUUAUGGCUCAGGAUGAACGCUAGCUACAGGCUUAACACAUUGCAAGUCGAGGGGCAGCAUGUCGGUUGCUUGCAACCGAUGAUGGCGACCGGCGCACGGGUGAGUAACGCGUAUCCAACCUACCCUUGUCCAUCGGAUAACCCGUCGAAAGGCGGCCUAACACGAUAUGCGGUUCACCGCAGGCAUCUAACGCGGACGAAAUGUGAAGGAGAAGGAUGGGGAUGCGUCUGAUUAGCUUGUUGGCGGGGUAACGGCCCACCAAGGCUACGAUCAGUAGGGGUUCUGAGAGGAAGGUCCCCCACAUUGGAACUGAGACACGGUCCAAACUCCUACGGGAGGCAGCAGUGAGGAAUAUUGGUCAAUGGACGAGAGUCUGAACCAGCCAAGUAGCGUGCAGGAUGACGGCCCUAUGGGUUGUAAACUGCUUUUAUAGGGGGAUAAAGUGUGCCACGUGUGGCAUAUUGCAGGUACCCUAUGAAUAAGGACCGGCUAAUUCCGUGCCAGCAGCCGCGGUAAUACGGAAGGUCCAGGCGUUAUCCGGAUUUAUUGGGUUUAAAGGGAGCGUAGGCCGUUUGGUAAGCGUGUUGUGAAAUGUCGGGGCUCAACCUGGGCAUUGCAGCGCGAACUGCCAGACUUGAGUGCGCAGGAAGUAGGCGGAAUUCGUCGUGUAGCGGUGAAAUGCUUAGAUAUGACGAAGAACUCCGAUUGCGAAGGCAGCCUGCUGUAGCGCAACUGACGCUGAAGCUCGAAAGCGUGGGUAUCGAACAGGAUUAGAUACCCUGGUAGUCCACGCGGUAAACGAUGGAUGCUCGCUGUUUGCGUCUGACGUAAGCGGCCUAGCGAAAGCGUUAAGC